UUGACCUCGGAUCAGGUAGGGAUACCCGCUGAACUUAAGCAUAUCAAUAAGCGGAGGAAAAAGAAACCAACAGGGAUUGCCUCAGUAACGGCAUG
rnacentral:rRNA from 1 species